AUUGAACGCUGGCGGCAGGCCUAACACAUGCAAGUCGAGCGGAUGAAGGGAGCUUGCUCCUGGAUUCAGCGGCGGACGGGUGAGUAAUGCCUAGGAAUCUGCCUGGUAGUGGGGGAUAACGUCCGGAAACGGGCGCUAAUACCGCAUACGUCCUGAGGGAGAAAGUGGGGGAUCUUCGGACCUCACGCUAUCAGAUGAGCCUAGGUCGGAUUAGCUAGUUGGUGGGGUAAAGGCCUACCAAGGCGACGAUCCGUAACUGGUCUGAGAGGAUGAUCAGUCACACUGGAACUGAGACACGGUCCAGGCUCCUACGGGAGGCAGCAGUGGGGAAUAUUGGACAACGGGCGAAAGCCUGAUCCAGUCAUGCCGCGUGUGUGAAGAAGGUCUUCGGGUUGUAAAGCACGUUAAGUUGGGAGGAAGGGCAGUAAGUUAAUACCUUGCUGUUUUGACGUUACCAACAGAAUAAGCACCGGCUAACUUCGUG
rnacentral:rRNA from 1 species